UGCCCCAUGAAAAAAAUAUGGGGUAAUUUCUGCCCAGUGACACUACGUUCAACGGCCGCGGUAUCCUAACCGUGCAAAGGUAGCAUAAUCAUUUGCCUAUUAAUUGUAGGCUAGAAUGAAGGAAUCAACGAAAUAAAAACUGUCUCAAUUAGUCAUCUAAAAAUUAUUCUCUGCCCGAAGAAAGGCAGAUAUUCUCGAAGGACAAGAAGACCCUAUAGAGCUUUAUUCUAUUUAUAGGUAUAAACUAUAAAAUUAUUCGGUUGGGGCGACCCAGGGCCAAUUAAUCACCCAAUAAAUAAAAGAUAUAUGCAUCAAAUAAAUGACCCUUAUAAGAUCAAAAAAUCAAGCUACCUUAGGGAUAACAGGCUAAUCCCACUCAAGAGUCCUUAUCAACAGUGGGGUUUGGCACCUCGAUGUUGGCUUAGGGCAUCUAUAUAGCGCAAAAGUUAUAUAAAGAUGGUUUGUUCAACCAGUAAUUCCCU
rnacentral:rRNA from 1 species